GCCUGGGUGGCUCAGUCGGUUAAGCGCCCGACUUCAGCUCAGGGCGUGGUCUCAUGGCUUGUGGGUUCGAGCCCCACGUCGGGCU
rnacentral:tRNA from 1 species